CAGUCGCCGCGGUAAUACAGAGGAUGCAAGCGUUAUCCGGAAUGAUUGGGCGUAAAGGGCUCGCAGGCGGUUUCUUAAGUCUGAUGUGAAAGCCCCCGGCUCAACCGGGGAGGGUCAUUGGAAACUGGGAAACUUGAGUGCAGAAGAGGAGAGUGGAAUUCCACGUGUAGCGGUGAAAUGCGUAGAGAUGUGGAGGAACACCAGUGGCGAAGGCGACUCUCUGGUCUGUAACUGACGCUGAGGAGCGAAAGCGUGGGGAGCGAACAGGAUUAGAUACCCCCGUAGUCCCUGUCUCUUAUAC
rnacentral:rRNA from 1 species